rnacentral:rRNA from 1 species
CCUACGGGAGGCCGCAGUGGGGAAUAUUGGGCAAUGGGCGCAAGCCUGACCCAGCAACGCAGCGUGAAGGAAGAAGGCUUUCGGGUUGUUAAAUUCUUUUGACAGGGAAGAGUAGAAGACGGUACCUGUCGAAUAAUCCAUGGCUAACUACGUGCCAGCAGCUGCGGCAAUACGUAGGUGGCAAGUGUUGUCCGGAUUUACUGGGUGUAAAGGGCGUGUAGCCGGGUUGUCAAGUCAGAUGUGAAAUCCUGCGGCUUAACAGCAGAACUGCAUUUGAAACUGUUAAUCUUGAGUACUGGAGAGGCAGACGGAAUUCCUAGUGUAGCGGUGAAAUGCGUAGAUAUUAGGAGGAACACCAGUGGCGAAGGCGGUCUGCUGGACAGCAACUGACGGUGAGGCGCGAAAGUGUGGGGAGCAAACAGGAUUAGAUACCCGUGUAGUC